AGAGUUUGAUCCUGGCUCAGAACGAACGCUGGCGGCGUGCCUAACACAUGCAAGUCGAGCGCGAAAGGGGGGGCAACCCCCCGAGUAGAGCGGCGCACGGGUGAGUAACGCGUGGGUAACCUACCUCCGGGCGGGGGAUAACGACUCGAAAGGGUCGCUAAUACCGCAUGAGACCACGGGGUCCUCGGAUCCUGGGGCCAAAGGCGGCAUCGGCUUGCCGGUGCUGUCACCUGGAGAUGGGCCCGCGUCCGAUUAGCUAGUUGGCAGGGUAACGGCCUACCAAGGCUCCGAUCGGUAGCUGGUCUGAGAGGAUGGCCAGCCACACUGGAACUGGAACACGGUCCAGACUCCUACGGGAGGCAGCAGUGAGGAAUAUUGCGCAAUGGGGGAAACCCUGACGCAGCAACGCCGCGUGUGCGAUGAAGGCCUUCGGGUCGUAAAGCACUUUUCUGGGAGAUGAGAAAGGACAGUAUCCCAGGAAUAAGUCUCGGCUAACUACGUGCCAGCAGCCGCGGUAAAACGUAGGAGGCGAGCGUUAUCCGGAUUCACUGGGCGUAAAGCGCGUGCAGGUGGCUUGGUAAGUUAGGCGUGAAAUCUCCCGGCUCAACUGGGAGAGGUCGUCUAAUACUACCGGGCUUGAGAGCAGAAGAGGAAGAUGGAAUUCCCGGUGUAGUGGUGAAAUGCGUAGAUAUCGGGAGGAACACCAGUGGCGAAGGCGAUCUUCUGGUCUGUUUCUGACACUCAGACGCGACAGCUAGGGUAGUAAACGGGAUUAGAGACCCCGGUAAUCCUAGCCGUAAACGAUGUAAACUUGGCGUUGGUGGGUUAAACUCCAUCAGUGCCGCAGCAAACGCGAUAAGUUUACCGCCUGGGGACUACGGCCGCAAGGUUAAAACUCAAA
rnacentral:rRNA from 1 species